UACGUAGGAUGCGAGCGUUAUCCGGAUUUAUUGGGUUUAAAGGGUGCGUAGGCGGACUGUCAAGUCAGCGGUAAAAUUGAGAGGCUCAACCUCUUCCCGCCGUUGAAACUGGUGGUCUUGAGUGGAUGAGAAGUACGCGGAAUGCGUGGUGUAGCGGUGAAAUGCAUAGAUAUCACGCAGAACUCCGAUUGCGAAGGCAGCAUACCGGCGCCCGACUGACGCUGAGGCACGAAAGCGUGGGGAUCGAACAGG
rnacentral:rRNA from 1 species